ensembl:lncRNA
UAUGCAAUAGACAUGAUAGCAUUACGUUUCAAAUUAAAGAUAUUGUGUUUUCCACAGAAAUUGAGCCGCGGUCUCCAGUGGGUUAGGCUGAGUACACUCCACUGCACCACUGAGGCGAUGACAAUACACAAUAAUCAAUCAUCAAUAAAGAGGAUAUACAUGACAUUAAAAUGUAUGUGUGUAUUUCUAUUAUUUCCCUUACGUUUUUUUCAUGAAGACCAAUAAAAAACGACAGUGUUACCCCUUAUGUUUUUUUCAUGACGACCGAUAAAAAACGACAGUGUUACCCCUUAUGUUUCAUUUGAUUAAAACGACAGUGUUACCCCUUAUGUUUCAUUUGAUUAAAACGACAGUGUUACCCCUUGUGUUUUUUUUCAUGACGACCAAAGAAAAACAACAGUGUUACCCCCUAUGUUUUUUUUUCAUGACGACCAAUAAAAAACAACA